UACGGAGGGUGCAAACGUUGCUCGGAAUCAUUGGGCGUAAAGCGCACGUAGGCGGUCCAGCAAGUCGGGUGUGAAAGCCCUCGGCUCAACCGAGGAAGUGCAUUCGAAACUGCUGAACUUGAGUAUGGAAGAGGGUCGCGGAAUUCCCGGUGUAGAGGUGAAAUUCGUAGAUAUCGGGAGGAACACCAGUGGCGAAGGCGGCGACCUGGGCCAAUACUGACGCUGAGGUGCGAAAGCGUGGGGAGCAAACAGG
rnacentral:rRNA from 1 species